AUGAACGCUGGCGGCGUGCUUAACACAUGCAAGUCGAACGGGAAACCUUUUAUUGAAGCUUCGGCAGAUUUAGCUGGUUUCUAGUGGCGGACGGGUGAGUAACGCGUGGGUAACCUGCCCUAUACAGGGGGAUAACAACCAGAAAUGGUUGCUAAUACCGCAUAAGCGCACAGGGCCGCAUGGUCCGGUGUGAAAAACUCCGGUGUGAUAGGAUGGACCCGCGUUGGAUUAGCCAGUUGGCAGGGUAACGGCCUACCAAAGCGACGAUCCAUAGCCGGCCUGAGAGGGUGAACGGCCACAUUGGGACUGAGACACGGCCCAGACUCCUACGGGAGGCAGCAGUGGGGAAUAUUGCACAAUGGGGGAAACCCUGAUGCAGCGACGCCGCGUGAAGGAAGAAGUAUCUCGGUAUGUAAACUUCUAUCAGCAGGGAAGAUAGUGACGGUACCUGACUAAGAAGCCCCGGCUAACUACGUG
rnacentral:rRNA from 1 species